UACGUAGGGGGCAAGCGUUGUCCGGAAUCACUGGGCGUAAAGCGCGCGCAGGCGGCUAUCUACGUCCGGGGUGAAAGCCCAGAGCUCAACUCUGGGACUGCCUUGGAUACGGGAUAGCUUGAGGAUCGGAGAGGCAAGGGGAAUUCCACGUGUAGCGGUGAAAUGCGUAGAGAUGUGGAGGAACACCUGUGGCGAAGGCGCCUUGCUGGCCGAUUUCUGACGCUGAGGCGCGAAAGCGUGGGGAGCAAACAGG
rnacentral:rRNA from 1 species